rnacentral:tRNA from 4 species
GGAGAGGUGGCCGAGCGGUCGAAGGCGGCGGUUUGCUAAACCGUUAUACGGGGUAAACCCGUAUCGAGGGUUCGAAUCCCUUCCUCUCCGCCA